rnacentral:rRNA from 1 species
GACGAACGCUGGCGGCGUGCUUAACACAUGCAAGUCGAACGGUAAGGCCCUUCGGGGUACACGAGUGGCGAACGGGUGAGUAACACGUGGGUGAUCUGCCCUGCACUUCGGGAUAAGCCUGGGAAACUGGGUCUAAUACCGGAUAGGACCACUGCCUGCAUGGGUGGUGGUGGAAAGCUUUUGCGGUGUGGGAUGGGCCCGCGGCCUAUCAGCUUGUUGGUGGGGUGAUGGCCUACCAAGGCGACGACGGGUAGCCGGCCUGCGAGGGUGACCGGCCACACUGGGACUAAGGUACGGACCAGUGUCCAACGGGAGGCAGCAGUGGGGAAUAUUGCACAAUGGGCGCGAGCCUGAUGCAGCGACGCCGCGUGUGGGAUGACGGCCUUCGGGUUGUAAACCUCUUUCAGCACCGACGAAGCGCAAGUGACGGUAGGUGCAGAAGAAGGACCGGCCAACUACGUGCCAGCCGCCGCCGUAA